ACCCCCGCGACCCCCGUGGUCUGCCCCCUCCCCAGCGCUGGUGGUUCGGGUGCUGACCCAAAACGAGGUCGGGGCUUUCGUGGGCUUCGAGACGGAAAUCCAGGAGGUUCUGCUGACGGGGCAGGAUGCAGCGGCGGCCCCUGGGGAACGGCGGCGGAUACUGGUGAGGGAGAGCUGCGCCCUGCGCCUGCGCUCCCCCAGCACCUACCUGCUGAUGGGGGCGGACGGGGGGACACGGGACCCCCAAGGACGCCCCCAGUACCUACUGGGCCCCCAGUCGUGGGUGGAAGAGGUGCCACCCCCUGCCCGCUGUGGGGCCACGCGGCUGCGGAGCCGCUGUGCCCAGCUGCAGGACUUCCGCAACCGCCUUGGCCAGCUGGGCUGCCAGCUCUGAGCCGGGGACACUUGGAGGACGCCCAUGCCGGGGCCAACUGGGAGCAACUGGGAUUCGCUGGGAGCAACUGGGAACAACUCAGACUGCACUGGGUGCAACUGGGACCCUACUUGGAUCAGUUGGGGUCAACUGGAAAUAAAAUAGCGUCAACUGAGA